rnacentral:tRNA from 3 species
GGGAGCUUGGCUCAGUUGGAAGAGCGCAGGUCUCAUAUGAAAAUUGUCAGAUUUGAUGACAAGGAGAAAUAUGAUCUGGUUGCAUAACAUCAGAGUUAUCCUGAGGUCGUGAGUUCGAGCCUCACAGUUCCCA